rnacentral:rRNA from 1 species
CUACGGGAUGCACCAGUGAGGAAUAUUGCACAAUGGGGGGAACCCUGAUGCAGCAACGCCGCGUGGAGGAUGACGCAUUUCGGUGUGUAAACUCCUUUUAUAUGUCAAGAAAAUGACGGUAGCAUAUGAAUAAGCACCGGCUAACUCCGUGCCAGCAGCCGCGGUAAUACGGAGGGUGCAAGCGUUACUCGGAAUCACUGGGCGUAAAGGACGCGUAGGCGGGUUGGAAAGUCAGGUGUGAAAUCCUACAGCUUAACUGUAGAACUGCACUUGAAACUUCUAAUCGAGAGUAUGGGAGGGGGGGAUGGAAUUAGUGGUGUAGGGGUAAAAUCCGUAGAUAUCACUAGGAAUACCUAAAGCGAAGGCGAUCUCCUGGAACAUUACUGACGCUAAGGCGUGAAAGCGUGGGGAGCAAACAGGAUUAGAUACCCGAGUAGUC